AAGAAAAACCGAGCAAGCAUAAAAAAAAAUAUAUGUAUAGAAAAUAUAGAAAAGAAACAUCUGUUUUGUAUAUUUGAUGUGAAAGAAAGACAAAAUAGAAGAAAUGAAAAUGAAAUGCUUGCUUGGAAGAAAAAUAGUGAAAAAAAAAUUGAGUUGUGGAAUAUGUGUUGUGAAGGUUUCAAAUAAGAAACAAAUGAAACAAAGUCGAGAUGUGUGAUUAAUA
rnacentral:lncRNA from 1 species